AACGAACACUCGUCGUAUUUAUACAAAGUCCUGCUGAUCCUAUUAAAUUUGAUAAAUUUACUUUUAACGUUUCUUCAUGACCAAGUUGUUUGGAAUAAAUGCCUACUUUACUACUCACUACUCGGUACCAACAACAAUAUAUGCAUAUGUCAUAUGUAAUAGAGUUUACUAUCUGAAGGAUAUAUAAAAUAUGUAUAUAAUUUUAAUUUCUUUGGUUCAUCUUAAUAAGUAAGGUUCUAUCGAAGAAAUUAUUUAUAUCAUAUAGUCCAAUAAGUAAAUGUUGCUCGAUUGAAGUAAUAGCGCCUUUAUUAGAGAGUCGUUACAGUUUUCUUCGGAUAGAUGGAGCUUGGUGAAGCAGAAAUCAUUACAUAUAUAUAUACACACGUGUAUUUUACGCAACUUUUAAAUGUUUCACUUUUUAAGCGAUCAGUAGAAAAAUGAAUAAAAAUGGUAAUACAGUAAAGGGCAAUUUAAAUUUUUCAAUAUAUUAAUAUUUUAAUACUGAUUUAUGGGUAGCUGUUUCAAACAUAUUAACAAAAUUGAGAAACCGAAAAUUGAGAAUGUUAGACGUAAAUAACUUUUAAAAUCGGAUUAACGUUAAGUAAUUUGUAAUUAAUCUCGGAAAUAAUUAUUCACGAGAAUAUGUUUAUCGUUACAUAUGACAAUUUAGAAUAGAGAAGAGGGAAUUCAGAAUGAAAGUUUAGAUAAAAUAAUUUGUUUGAAUCGUAUCUGAUGGCAUACGAAAGAAGAUGAAGCAGAUAGUUUGAAUUAGGUAUGCAUAAAGCUGAUUAUUUGAUCGUAACAAGUUGGAAUAAUUGCUGAUAGAGGGUAUGGAUAAUCGAGAAAUUAUGUUUGUUACAGAUGAUAUACAUAGGAGAAUAGAGCGGGGGUGGUUCUUUCAGUUUUAGGAGUAACUACAAGAAUGCGCAUGGCAGAUAUCGAUCGGUAAUCACUAUGGUUACGCCUCGGUAUAGAAGCACGACAGCGACUACGACAGCGACGACGACGACGACGACGACGACGACGGCGACGACGACGACGACGACGACGACGACGACAACGACGACGACGACGACGACAACGACAACGACGACGACGACGACGGCGACGGCGACGACGACGACGACGACGACGGCGACGACGACGACGACGACGACGACGACGGCGACGGCGACAACGACGGUGACAGCGCUCACCCUGCUGCCGUAUUUGUUUUACGGUGAGUUUAACGAAAGAUGGACCGGUCGAGAGCGAGUGUAAUCGAGCAAGUAUAAAGAGAGGAGAGCAGUGACAGAAGGGAAGAUUUGAAUUUGCAAAGUGAAGAAAAUUGCAAAGUGAAAUGAGAAAAAGAAGUUUGUGUAAAUAGAAAAUUUUGAUAGAACGAAGCUGUUUCUCGUGCGACAAGCCAAUUAAGUAGGCAAAGGGAUAAAUUCGAGAGAAAUUCGAGAGAAAUUGAUCGAGGAUAGAAGAGAGAGAGAGAAUCAAGUAAGAAUCAACGAUCAUGUCAGGGACAAGCUGAUGACCUUCCGAACGGCUGCAAUGAUGUGACAAUAAAGAUACUUUCUCCUGCAUCCUCUCUUAUAUCACCGGGGUAUUAUCCCUGUUACAUAGUGCUUCCCAGAAUAGAAGGAGAGCAGAAAAUUGGUGGAGUGAUAGGUUAGAUCGGUGACUGAUAGAAACGGUGCCAAAAGUCGACAGACGAGCCAAUCAAAGUGAAUUUACAACAUCUAGAAUCUAGAUGUUUGGAUAAAGAUCGAUGAGCAUCGUGAUAAUUACGGGAAACGAAGAAAAGAGGGAAAAGGGAGGAAAAUAAGAGGAGUUAGGAAGGAGAAACUGAAGUAGAAACGCGCACAACCGAUACAACGUAGAGGAAAAAUAAUUGACGCGAGCAAGGCGAUCGGUGGAAA